UACGUAGGUGGCAAGCGUUGUCCGGAUUUAUUGGGCUUAAAGGGUGCGUAGGUGGUCUAUUAAGUCAGUGCUGAAAUAUCCCGGCUUAACCGGGAGGGUGGCAUUGAUACUGAUGGACUUGAGUGGAGUUGAGGUAGGCGGAAUUGACGGUGUAGCGGUGAAAUGCUUAGAUAUCGUCAAGAACACCGAUAGCGAAGGCAGCUUACUAAGCUCUAACUGACACUGAUGCACGAAAGUGUGGGGAUCAAACAGG
rnacentral:rRNA from 1 species